rnacentral:lncRNA from 1 species
GAGAAGCAAGGCGGUGAACACUGGAUUUGAAAUUGGAUUCUGUCCUUUACUAGAUAUGUAACUUUACAAGGAGGCCUAAAUCUAUAAAGCGUUGCUUUAUUCAACUGGCAAAUACAGAUACUGUUGCCCAGCUUGUAUUGUUGGGAAUCAAAUGAGAGGAUGCUUAAGAGUCUGAAUGAAUGGAAGGAAGGAAAGAUCCAUGAGAACAGAAUUGUUGCCUUUCCCAUUCACCCAGGAUCUUCAGCAUCAAGAACAGGACCCGUGCAGGGAACUAGUCUUAACAAAGCAAAACUGCUUGAUAUCCAGUACCACUGCUUUUCUAAAUGAUGUGAUUAUGAUCAGUCCUUUUUCACAUUUCCUCGGCCACAAAUGAUGGGGUGCUGUGUGCCACAGUUCAAUUAUUUGGUGUUAUCUAAUCUAGAAUCAAGUUCACAUAUAUUUAUGUGAACGAAGGUAAGUGAAAUGGGAGGGAAAAGGUAGCAACUAA